rnacentral:rRNA from 1 species
GCGGCAUGCUUUACACAUGCAAGUCGAACGGUAACAGGGAGCUUGCUCCGCUGACGAGUGGCGAACGGGUGAGUAAUAUAUCGGAACGUACCCAAGAGUGGGGGAUAACGUAGCGAAAGUUACGCUAAUACCGCAUACGAUCUAUGGAUGAAAGCAGGGGACCUUCGGGCCUUGUGCUCCUGGAGCGGCCGAUAUCUGAUUAGCUAGUUGGUGAGGUAAAGGCUCACCAAGGCGACGAUCAGUAGCUGGUCUGAGAGGACGACCAGCCACACUGGAACUGAGACACGGUCCAGACUCCUACGGGAGGCAGCAGUGGGGAAUUUUGGACAAUGGGCGCAAGCCUGAUCCAGCAAUGCCGCGUGAGUGAAGAAGGCCUUCGGGUUGUAAAGCUCUUUUGUCAGGGAAGAAACGGCUGUGGCUAAUAUCCACGGCUAAUGACGGUACCUGAAGAAUAAGCACCGGCUAACUACGUGCCAGCAGCCGCGGUAAUACGUAGGGUGCAACCGUUAAUCGGAAUUACUGGGCGUAAAGCGUGCGCAGGCGGUUUUGUAAGUCUGUCGUGAAAUCCCCGGGCUCAACCUGGGAAUUGCGAUGGAGACUGCAAGGCUAGAAUCUGGCAGAGGGGGGUAGAAUUCCACGUGUAGCAGUGAAAUGCGUAGAGAUGUGGAGGAACACCGAUGGCGAAGGCAGCCCCCUGGGUCAAGAUUGACGCUCAUGCACGAAAGCGUGGGGAGCAAACAGGAUUAGAUACCCUGGUAGUCCACGCCCUAAACGAUGUCUACUAGUUGUCGGGUUUUAAUUAACUUGGUAACGCAGCUAACGCGUGAAGUAGACCGCCUGGGGAGUACGGUCGCAAGAUUAAAACUCAAAGGAAUUGACGGGGACCCGCACAAGCGGUGGAUGAUGUGGAUUAAUUCGAUGCAACGCGAAAAACCUUACCUACCCUUGACAUGUCAGGAAGGCCGGAGAGA